AGCAAUACUAAAGCAAAUAAGAUAGCAUAAGCUUAACCCAAACAAAUGGGUUUAUAAAAUACAUUAUUAAGACCCAAAUGACAUAUAUAACACAUCCCUGAGGCUGCUCAUGAGUUGUAUACAUGCUUUGCACAUGCUCCUUAAGUGGCACAUGCAUUACACAUGUUUCUUUAAAUCUGUCAAUUUAGUUUGAUGGACUUGUACACCUUCUAAUUAGGCCCAAUGGACUUAAAUAUUAACAAAAGUCUUCCUUCGUCUUCACUUUAGGCUUUUCUUUGUAUAACUUUUAUCCAUAGGCUUGAUUAUACUCCUUAAAUCCAUAAUUGUAAGUGUUGCACUAAAUCUACCCCAUAUAAAUUGAAUCACGCCCCAAGUGGAUUUGGUUCAUAUAAAUAUGAUUUUGAACUCUUUUUAAACCUAUUUGAAUGAUAUAAAGUUACUCCACACAAUUAUUGCAAGUCUGCCUUAUUGGAUUCGUAUCAUUCUCUCUUUCUUUAGAAAAGAUUCGUCCUCGAAGCUUGCUCAUAUUCAUGUCCGGAAUGGAAAUUUUAGGAACCAAUGCAUCUUCAAAGAUCUCCUCUUAAAUAGGUGCAAAUAGCAUGAAAGUCUCAUCAUGGAUGUUCUCAUCAACAACCUGCAUAUCAAGAACAAGACAACUAGGCAUAACAAUGUUAAUCAUAGAAAGAUCAUGUAGAUGUGACCCAUUCUCCUCUACAACUUCCAAAACAGCUCGAUUCGCCUCUUUUACCUCAUCAAUCAUGUCCUCCCUAUGUCCACCAUCAAUCACAACCUCUUCUUUAAGCAAGAACUUUGCUAACUUCAUGCAUUACAAUUUCCUCUUCAAUUUCAAUUUCUAUGAAAGUUGAAAUUGAAAAUUUAGCCUUUUCUUUCUUCUUUUCUUUCUUAUCUCUUCUCUUUUCUUAGCAACAAACCUCUUCGUCUCUAACUUUGCUUCACGUAAAUUCUCUUCAUAACUUUGAAGCUCCUUAAUUAACAACAUAGCUUCUCUAAAACUAUAUGUAACUUCUUUAUCCAUCCGUUUUCUGCAAUGUUGAAUACAAUUUUUAAAGCUAUUUAUUGCAAAAUCAAGCAUAAAAUAGGAAACAUUCUCCUUAAUCUCCAUCUCAAGUUCCUCUUUAUCGUCUCCUUACUUAUCCAAACUCAUAGUUAAGAACAACAACAAAAAUCACAAGUCAAAAUAGAGUUAGUAAUAAAGCACUUUCUCACGUGUUUGCACUCUUUUACUACUCUUUGCAAUUCCUCCAAUUGAACUUCAGAAUUUAGGCCAAUCUAGCAACUCAAAAGAAAACUUAAAAAUAAAGAUUAAAACCCUAACAAUAAAAAGUAAGCUCAAAUACACUAGAAAGAAUACACAAGACAAAAAUGGAUGGUAGCACAAAGACAAAAUUAUGUACUACUUGAUUUUAUCAAUUUAAGGUGUAAUCACAAUCAAAUAACACUCUAAUAAUGUAAAAGAAACAAAGAUGGCAAAACUCAAAAAAAAAAAAAAAUCAACAAACAAGAAUUGAGAAAAGACAAUUUAGGCCAAAAUAUAAGAAUUUGAAUUACUACAAAGCAAAUUAAAUAUGAAAUCUAAAAUAUUUCUACUCAACAAAGUAAGAAAGUAAAAAAUGCUUAAACUAAAUCAGAAUUCUCAUGUAUAAUUAAUUUUUGGAGCCAAAUUAAUAAUUUCAUGCCAAAAAAAAAUUGUUUUAAGCUCUAAACAUGCACAGGUGUAUGUGUGACCAAAUAUAGCAUCAAAUUAAUUAAACAAGAGAGAGUCAAUCCAAAUAGCCCCUAAAACAAUAGAGUCCGAAAAUUUAGGGCUAAGGAAGCAAUUCUUUAGACACAAAAAACCUCAAGUCCUAAUUCAACUAGGACAAGAAAACAAAUCCAAUAAGAAGAAGGAUUCCUCAAAGAUACGUCAAGAAUUCUCUUCCUUCUUCCUUUCUUUCUCUUACUAAUUUUCUUUCUUCUUUUUUUUAAUUCUCUUUCUUCUGCUUCUUUUAAUUUUGUGUGUUUUUUUUUUUUUAUCGAAUUGAUCAAGAACGAAACUUAACUAAUUUAACAACCAAAAUUAAAUCAACAAACACUAAAACAAGUUUAAACCCUAAACAAAUUAAACUAAUACAAGACCAAAAAAUUCAGAAAUAAAAAAUGCAAGAAAAUUCAAAUUUAAAACUCUAAACUAAGAUAAAUCAAAAUUUAUCUUAACCUUUAGCUCUGAUACUAAUUGAUGCGGAACCCUAUGGAUCAAGUCUAAGAACUCUAUGACAAGAUGGAAAAAGCUCUAAAGAUCAACAGUAAACUUUCCUCUAUGGCAUUCAAUGCAAAGGACAACAAGAAUACCAAUGAUUGAGGAAUAAAGGAACAAAACAAAUGUCACAAUUGAAUUGAUAAGUUUAUCUUGAUUUUUGAUGCAAUUGGAAGAAUGCAAUCUUAGACUCUCACAAUAAUAAAAACACGCAAAUAGUAUGAAUAAUUCUGAAUUUUGAUUAAAAGUCCUCUUAUACAAAGGUGGCUGGAAUUUAUAUAGAAAAAACUAAGCAUAACCCUAAAAGACUAAGAAUAAACUAAAACCUAAAGAGCCAAACAAGGCUGGACGAAAAUUAUAAACUCAUAGCAAGGGACUACAUAUUAAAGCCCUAAAACUAGGUCCAAACAACUAAACUAGUAAUACUAAAGCAAAUAAGAUAGUAUAAAUUUAACCUAAAUAAAUAGGCUUGCAAAAUACAUCAUUAAGGUCCAAAUAACAUAUAUAACACGUCCUCCAAGACUGCUCAUGAGUUGUGCACAUGCCUUGCACAUGCUCCUUAAGUGGCACAUACAUUACACGUGUUUGUUCAAAUCUACCAAUUUAGUUUGAUGGACUUGUACACCUUCUAAUUAGGCUAAAUGGACUUACAUCUUCACAAGAGCCUUCCUUCAUCUUUACUAUAGGCUUCCAUUUGUGUAGUUUUAGCCCAUAGGUUUGAUUAUACUGCUUAAGCCCAUAAUCUUAAGCCCAUAAUUGCAAAUGUUGCACCAAAUCUGCCCCAUAUGAAUUGAAGCACGCCC
rnacentral:lncRNA from 1 species